rnacentral:rRNA from 1 species
UGGGGAAUUUUGGACAAUGGGCGAAAGCCUGAUCCAGCAAUGCCGCGUGUGUGAAGAAGGCCUUCGGGUUGUAAAGCACUUUUGUCCGGAAAGAAAUCCUUGGCUCUAAUACAGUCGGGGGAUGACGGUACCGGAAGAAUAAGCACCGGCUAACUACGUGCCAGCAGCCGCGGUAAUACGUAGGGUGCAAGCGUUAAUCGGAAUUACUGGGCGUAAAGCGUGCGCAGGCGGUUUGCUAAGACCGAUGUGAAAUCCCCGGGCUCAACCUGGGAACUGCAUUGGUGACUGGCAGGCUAGAGUAUGGCAGAGGGGGGUAGAAUUCCACGUGUAGCAGUGAAAUGCGUAGAGAUGUGGAGGAAUACCGAUGGCGGAGGCAGCCCCCUGGGCCAAUACUGACGCUCAUGCACGAAAGCGUGGGGAGCAAACAGGAUUAGAUACCCUGGUAGUCCACGCCCUAAACGAUGUCAACUAGUUGUUGGGGAUUCAUUUCCUUAGUAACGUAGCUAACGCGUGAAGUCGACCGCCUGGGGAGUACGGUCGCAAGAUUAAAACUCAAAGGAAUUGACGGGG